UACGUAGGUGGCAAGCGUUGUCCGGAAUUAUUGGGCGUAAAGAGCUCGUAGGCGGUUCGGCAAGUCGGAUGUGAAAUCUCCACGCUCAACGUGGAGGGGCCAUCCGAUACUGCCGUGACUCGAGUCCGGUAGGGGAGUGCGGAAUUCCCGGUGUAGCGGUGAAAUGCGCAGAGAUCGGGAGGAACACCCGUAGCGAAGGCGGCACUCUGGGCCGGUACUGACGCUGAGGAGCGAAAGCGUGGGGAGCGAACAGG
rnacentral:rRNA from 1 species